AUUGAACGCUGGCGGCAGGCCUAUCACAUGCAAGUCGAGCGGAUGACGGGAGCUUGCUCCUUGAUUCAGCGGCGGACGGGUGAGUAAUGCCUAGGAAUCUGCCUGGUAGUGGGGGACAACGUUUCGAAAGGAACGUUAAUACCGCAUACGUCCUACGGGAGAAAGCAGGGGACCUUCGGGCCUUGCGCUAUCAGAUGAGCCUAGGUCGGAUUAGCUAGUAGGUGAGGUAAUGGCUCACCUAGGCGACGAUCCGUAACUGGUCUGAGAGGAUGAUCAGUCACACUGGAACUGAGACACGGUCCAGACUCCUACGGGAGGCAGCAGUGGGGAAUAUUGGACAAUGGGCGAAAGCCUGAUCCAGCCAUGCCGCGUGUGUGAAGAAGGUCUUCGGAUUGUAAAGCACUUUAAGUUGGGAGGAAGGGCAGUAAGUUAAUACCUUGCUGUUUUGACGUUACCGACAGAAUAAGCACCGGCUAACUCUGUGCCAGCCGCCGCAGUAA
rnacentral:rRNA from 1 species